GUGCUUGCUUUGGCAGCACAUAUACUAAAAUUAGAAUGAUAUAGAGAUUAGCAUGGUCCCCACCCAAGGAUGACACACAAAUUUGUGAAGCAUUCCAUAUAAAA